GUUGUAUUAUUAUUAUUAUUCUUAAUGCUAAAGGCAUCCUCCCUAAACUGCAAAUAUCAGGAGUCCAUUGGAGGUUGCCAUGGUAACUGUUAUGGUUGAGCCUUCUGGCUCCGGUACUGGGAGACGGGGUCGUAAGACUCCUCGAGAGUCAGACUCUUUUGAGGAGCGAGAAAGGAAACGGCUCCGGGACUUAUUUGCAGAACCAACUGACGAAGACUCAUUUGAGGGUUUUACCGAGGGAAUGGAGGAAGAAAUGACUGACUGACUGACUACGACCCUGGACUAUCCCUUCUGUGGCUAUCGGUGAACUCGUGGAACUCUAGACGCCUGCACUUGGCUUCCGACCUCGGACCGGACUGGGACCCCGCUGACCGCCGUGAUCCUGAUUGAUGUGCCUGGACCCGGAUUUCGCUCGUUGCACGGAGGAGUAACAGCCUGAGUUACUCAUCUGUAGCUUUUGGGUAGCAGAGAGGAAUCUGCUGCCAGUUUUUUGUGUUCAUUUUGACCUUUGUUUAUCAACUUUUGUUUGUUUAAAUUGCCAGGCUGAAGUAAGCACUUUUGAGUUCGGAUUAAACUCCUGUUUAAUCCGGUUUAUUCUUUCGAACCAUUUUAAUUCAAGCGGAGCUGUUUUUGUUAUUUUUUCACUGAAGACAAGUGUUUGCCUAGUCCUUUGUUUUCUACGGGCACUCUUCAGUUCUGUAACUUCAAUAAACUGUGUUGUACUCUA